GGGGGCGACUUGGAUUCGACAGGGGUUGCAAAGCAGAACAGGGCAUAUCGAGGGCUGGUGACCUCGUAAAUCCAUCCAGAAAAAAAGUAAACGCUAACGAUAAUAGUUACGCAUUAGCCGCUUAAUCCCGGCUAUCCCUACACUGUUUCUUUCCUGGGGCAGGCCGCAAGGCACGUAGGGUCAUAUACAGGAAAUCGCUUCGGGUCGGGUUACUUGGCCAGAAGUUAAAUAAUAGGUAACUCGUCUGAUUGCAGCGUGCGUGUCCGCGUCAGUCAGAUCAAAUCAAAUGGCAACGCUAAAUAUGUAGAACUGUCUGUAGAGGACUUCUGGACGCGGGUUCGAAACCCGCCGCCUCCACCA
rfam:Oxalobacter formigenes OXCC13 genomic scaffold supercont1.1, whole genome shotgun sequence.